GACGAACGCUGGCGGCGUGCUUAACACAUGCAAGUCGAACGGAAAGGCCCUGCUUUUGUGGGGUGCUCGAGUGGCGAACGGGUGAGUAACACGUGAGUAACCUGCCCUUGACUUUGGGAUAACUUCAGGAAACUGGGGCUAAUACCGGAUAGGAGCUCCUGCUGAAUGGUGGGGGUUGGAAAGUUUCGGCGGUUGGGGAUGGACUCGCGGCUUAUCAGCUUGUUGGUGGGGUAGUGGCUUACCAAGGCUUUGACGGGUAGCCGGCCUGAGAGGGUGACCGGCCACAUUGGGACUGGGAUACGGCCCAGACUCCUACGGGAGGCAGCAGUGGGGAAUAUUGCACAAUGGGCGGAAGCCUGAUGCAGCAACGCCGCGUGCGGGAUGACGGCCUUCGGGUUGUAAACCGCUUUCGCCUGUGACGAAGCGUGAGUGACGGUAAUGGGUAAAGAAGCACCGGCUAACUACGUG
rnacentral:rRNA from 1 species